AAAUUUGAAUCUGCCUACAGAAAUGGUCACUGAACCCUCUGGGAAGUGUUGGCUCAGCUGCUGUGCUGGGCUGUGUGUGCAGAGGGACUCCCCUGCCUGUGUCCUUUCGCCUCAUGAGCUUUAAUGUGCUCUUGGCUUUUAACAGUGCACAACAUCCACCUCAGGCAGGAGAUGUUUUCCAGUGCAUUGGGUCAUCCCCUUCCCUCCAUCCCCCCUCCAGGGAUUUUAAGGUGUCCUGGCUGCCUUUGAGUGCCCACUGCUCAAAACAGUGGGACCAGGAUGGAAACCACCACGCCUGUGUCCCUUUGUGCUGUAUUUACCCACAUUAAAUCUAUUUACCUGCUUUUAAUUCCUUUAAAAGCCUGCUGAGCUGCAAACAUGUGUCCCUCCUCUCCUGGUGAUGUCUCACAUGCAUCAGCCAGAUCCAGCUCUCACCUCCUCCCAGGGUGGUUUGGGGGAUUGUCCCAGUGCUCAGCCAUGGGGCCAUUUGCUGCAGCUCAGGGUGCCCAGAGCAGCUGUGGCUGCUCCACCCCUGGAAGUGUCCAAGGGAAGGUUGGACGGGGCUUGGAGCAACCUGGGCUAGUGGAAGGUGUCCCUGCCCGUGGCAGGGGUGGCACUGGAUGGGCUUUAAGGUCCCUUCCAAACCAAACCAUUUUGGGAUUCUGUGAACUCACUGUGGGCAGGAGCUCCCGAAAGUUCUCUGUGUGACCAGGGACAGCCCCCAGGGAAUGGCUGGAGCUGUGUCAGGGCAGGCUCAGGGUGGAUCUCAGCAAAAGGUUCUUCCCCCAGAGGGUGGUUGGCACUGAACAGGCUCCCCAGGGCAGUGGGCACAGCCCCAAGGCUGCCAGAGCUGCAGGAGGGUUUGGAUGAUCCUCUGGGGCACAGGGGGUGAUUCUUGGGGCUGGGCCUGUGCAGGGCUGAGGGUUGGACUGGGUGAUCCUUGUGGGUCCCUUCCAACUCAGCAUAUCCUGGGAUUCGGUGAGUCUGUGAUUUGUAGGCCAUGAAUGCAGAAAGAUGAUUUCAGAUGCUUCAAAGACCAUAAACCCAAUAAGGCUGUGCAGCUGCAGCUCCCCAGGGCUGCCCAGAGCCCUCAGACUGCCCCAGGACCACCAGAACCAACACAAACCAGGGACAAACCAGGGACAAACCAGGGACAAACCACCCCCCCCAGGCCGAGAGACCAGGGCAAGGCUCCUCCGGCUCCUCCUGCUGCUCCUCACCUUUCACAUCCAGCCUGCAGUCCACCGAGGCCUCCCCGAGGGCGUUCACGGCCUUGCAGGUGUAAACGCCGCCGUCGAAAGGGCUGGGCUUGCGGAUCUCCAGGGAGCACACGCCCUGCUCGAUCAUCGCGAUGUACUUGGGGUCUUCCCGGAUCUCCAUCUGGUUUUUCAACCAGAUGAUUUUGGGCUGGAAAGCAGCAGGAUCGAUCGUUCGUUUGUUUGAAGCGGGGAGGGAAGUGAGAAGUCUGACUGACCCCCAAAUGCAGCCACCUCCCCUCCCUCUGCCUUCGCCUCGGCCCUGCCUGGAGCUGGUGGCCAUGGUGGGAUUCACACUCGGAAGGAUUUUGAAGACCCAAAUCUCCCAUUUUCAAGCCCAAACCACUACUCCACACCUCCUCCCCCAGUGCAGGAGACAGGACAUGGCUUGAGUUACAACCACUCUCCCACCCCCAUGAAGGAACACCCCAAACUUGCCCCAGUCUGACCCGGGGAGGGCAGCUGCAGCUCCCCACCCUCACCCAACCCCAACCCAGCACGAUCAACUCUCUCCCAGCCACCUCUCCCAAGCCCCUGGUGCCCACACGUGGAGGUGGUGCUGUCCCUCUGACCUGGGGGAAGCCCCUGACGGAGCAGAAGAGGUGAGUGCUGUAGCCCCGGGUGGUGGUUCGGUCUGUCAGGGGCUGGGUGAACUUUGGAGGCUCCAUCAUGUCCCUCUGGGGGAUCUUCUCUGGCUGGUAAGUGGUUUCUGAGGGAAUAAUCAGUUCUGGGUUGAGGCAGAGCUCGGGCUCCCUGGCUGACCAACACAUGGUCACAGGGUACCCAAAAAUGCUUCUACUCCCUCACACAGGCCAGGUGUCAUCACCCCUGCCCCAAGGACCUGCUCUCAGCCCAGACCAGCCCUGCCUUCUCAUCCAGCCCCUCCACGUCAGUGCCCAGUCCCUGCAGGGGUCAGGGGAGGUGCCAGCCCUCAGUCCCACUGUGACCCACCCUGUGGGCAGCGGGUCAACCCCGGGCCAGGCACCUCCCUGGAUCUGCUGCUCCAUCCCCAAAAUUCAGCACAGAGAAACAGGAGCUGGUGGGCAGAGCCCCCCACUCCCUGUGUGCUCCCAGGGAGCAGGAUGGAGAUGGAGGGCAGGAUGGAGAUGGAGAGCAGGAUGGAGAUGGAGAGCAGGGUUGAGGGAGGCUGCUGGCAGGUUUGGCCCCAAGAUGCACUCCUGAGGGGUCUCUGCUGGCCCUGAGCUGCAGGGUCAGAGGCAGGGCUGUCCCUCACUGCCCCAGCUCCUGCUUCCAUCUCCCCCAGGGAUGUCCACGCCUUGGCUGCCCCCAAGGGGGCUGCCCACGGUACGGGGAAUGAGGUGUGGGGUGCGGGCAGGGUACCCCUGGGCUGGCCCCGGGGCCACCACAGCACCACCACCCAACACCCGGGAAGCCCCCGCGGGGUCGGGACCCCUCUCUCCCCACCACCCCCCCCCCCAAGCCCGAGGCCGGGAGUGCCCCCACUUGUCUUCUCGAUGUGGGCCACCCCGGCGGCCACGGCGGCGCUGUCGCUGAGCCCGCAGCAGUUCUCGGAGAAGACGCGGAAGGAGUAGGUGUUGCCGAUGAUGAGGUCGGAGAUGGUGCAGCUGGUGCGGGUGCAGCGCUCCAGAACCGUGAACCACUUCUGCGAGCGGGAGGGAAACGAGCCGUGAGGAAAGGCAGCAGGUCCGGGAUGGAGGGGGGAAAGGAGCCGUGAGGAAAGGUGGAAGGUCCCGGGAUGGAGGGGGGAAAGGCAGAGGCUCCAGGGAUGGAGGGGGGAAAGGGAACUGUGAGGAAAGGUGGAAGGUCCCGGGAUGGAGGAGGGAAAGGAGCCGUGAGGAAAGGUGGAAGGUCCCGGGAUGGAGGAGGGAAAGGAGCCGUGAGGAAAGGCAGCAGGUCCCGGGAUGGAGGAGGGAAAGGAGCCGUGAGGAAAGGAAGCAGGUCCCGGGAUGGAGGGGGGAAAGGAGCCGUGAGGAAAGGUGGAAGGUCCGGGGAUGGAGGAGGGAAAGGAGCCGUGAGGAAAGGCAGCAGGUCCGGGGAUGGAGGAGGGAAAGGCAGAGGCUCCAGGGAUGGAGGGGGGAAAGGGAACUGUGAGGAAAGGCGGAAGGUCCGGGGAUGGAGAAGAUGCCAACAGCGCACGGGUCUGCUUUUGCUGUCCUUUGCUACAAAACGGCCGGUGCUUUGUUGUAUUUAUUUAUAUCACACCAUACCAGAAAGUUCUCUAACUAUUUGCCUUUUUCCUUUUCUUUUCCUUUUUUUUUUUUUUUUUUCCUAAAAUCAAGGCUCCCAUUUCAUCUCUUCCCUCUGGGGCCCCAUCCACAUAUCACAAAUAUAUAAAGUCCUACAUUCUGUAUAUGAAUAUAUAAAGUAGAGUACAUACACAACCCUUUAAACUAAGAGGUUGAUAUCACCAUUUCCAAUAAAUCUUUACCUGCAAAUAUUGAAUCGAUCAGA